ACGGAAGGCAGCAGUGGGGAAUAUUGCACAAUGGGCGAAAGCCUGAUGCAGCGACGCCGCGUGAGUGAAGAAGUAUCUCGGUAUGUAAAGCUCUAUCAGCAGGGAAGAAAAUGACGGUACCUGACUAAGAAGCCCCGGCUAACUACGUGCCAGCAGCCGCGGUAAUACGUAGGGGGCAAGCGUUAUCCGGAUUUACUGGGUGUAAAGGGAGCGUAGACGGUUUGGCAAGUCUGAAGUGAAAUGCGGGGGCUCAACUCCUGAACUGCUUUGGAAGCUGUCGAACUAGAGUGCAGGAGAGGUAAGUGGAAUUCCUAGUGUAGCGGUGAAAUGCGUAGAUAUUAGGAGGAACACCAGUGGCGAAGGCGGCUUACUGGACUGUAACUGACGUUGAGGCUCGAAAGCGUGGGGAGCAAACAGGAUUAGAUACCCUGGUA
rnacentral:rRNA from 1 species